UUGUCUGGCAGUUUGAUCUUCUCUUGUGUGAAGGACUUUUAUAUGUGAUCAAAUUCUCUGUAGUCUUUCUUGAGACGGUUGUUGGAUAUUUCUUACACCUGAUUGUGUAUAGUUCUUCUUUAUGAGCAUGCAAAAUUGGAAUAUUUUUCUUUUGUUUUCCUUUGAUCCCUAUCUCUAUUGAUCAUGUUGUUUCCUUCACAUAUUCUGUACAUCUUCCAUCAUCCUGCAUUUCAUAGUUUUCUGUUUGAUAUCACUGUGAAUGUUAUUGUCUAAAUGUUCAUCCAUCCUGUAUAUUCUAUAUAAAGCUGCAAUUAGCUUUGUUAGUUUUCAUCAUUAGCAGCACUAAUUUCAAACCCAUGGUCAAACUCAUAGCAGACAGUUUGAGAGAUUAAUAAGGGAUGCUCUUUUGUUUUUGAUUGGUCAUAAUUAUGAUUUUUUUCUUGGACAGUUUGAUGGUAUAGGAAUGUUGAGCUUCUGAUUAAUUUAGGAAGACUUGUAUUAGAUCUGACCGAGCAAGGAAAACCUUGUGGAUCCGUAAGUAGUCUAUGUCUAGAAAAAUUUCACUCUAUUCAUUUUUAGUGCGUCAGAAAGAGUAUGUUGCAGGACCUUGUAUCUUUUGGUGCGGACCCCCUUUUUGUCUUCCAACAAGGUUGGUAUUCAAUAUAACUGGCAAGGUUUGAUUUCAGAGUUCUAUUGAGCGCUGGGUCAAUCAGUCAAUUAGAAAAGCACCUCUCAUUUCAUGUUUUAUGUAUCUCCGACUUCCUGAUGAACUUUCUGCAAUAGUUGGUCUUUUAAGGUUCUUGGUUCAACUGAAAAAAUUUAGGAGUCUUGUGUGCUUUGCAGAUGGGCACCUUCAAGCGACGUGCGAAUUGUGUUCAGGCUGUUGUCUGCAUGCCCUGGCAUCUACUUCCCUCAUUGCCCAUUCUCAGAAGUUGUCCUAUAAGAACACCUUAAAGAUCUAUAUCUAUAUGAAUGUUUUACGUACCAUAUUUCUUUGUUUGAACCCUGAGACACAUGAGAUCACUGACUUUUGCAGCUUCUACAUUCUCCCUUCUUCAAUAUUUGGCAGCCAAAAUUACUCGACAUCGAAAGCUGCUUCCUCGUACGACAAUGUGGUUACUCAGACUCCUUUGCUCCAGCUGAUGAAUGAUGCUCUCAUUGUGGCGAAACAGAAGGACUAUGAUGUGUUCAAUGCGUUAGAUGUCAUGCAUAAUGAAUCUUUCUUGAAGGAGCUGAAAUUCGGGCCUGGUGAUGGUCAGCUUCAUUAUUAUCUGUACAACUACUGGAUACGACAGGCUUUGAGGCCAUCUGAGCUAGGGCUCGUGCUUUUGUAGUUAGUUGCACCAGGCAAAGAAUUUAUACUUAUCUUCAUUGAGAGGACCAGGAAAAAUGCGUUGUUUGAUGUCUUAUUUGUGGAUGAUGGUUUGUUUGCUUGACUCACAAUGGUUGUCUGGCAGUUUGAUCUUAUCUUGUGUGAAGGACUUUUAUAUGUGAUCAAAUUCUCUGUAGUCUUUCUUGAGACGGUUGUUGGAUAUUUCUUACACCUGAUUGUGUAUAGUUCUUCUUUAUGAGCAUGCAAAAUUGGAAUAUUUUUCUUUUGUUUUCCUUUGAUCCCUAUCUCUAUUGAUCAUGUUGUUUCCUUCACAUAUUCUGUACAUCUUCCAUCAUCCUGCAUUUCAUAGUUUUCUGUUUGAUAUCACUGUGAAUGUUAUUGUCUAAAUGUUCAUCCAUCCUGUAUAUUCUAUAUAAAGCUGCAAUUAGCUUUGUUAGUUUUCAUCAUUAGCAGCACUAAUUUCAAACCCAUGGUCAAACUCAUAGCAGACAGUAUGAGAGAUUAAUAAGGGAUGCUCUUUUGAUUUUGAUUGGUCAUAAUUAUGAUUUUUUUCUUGGACAGUUUACUGGUAUAGGAAUGUUGAGCUUCUGAUUAAUUUAGGAAGACUUGUAUUAGAUCUGACCGAGCAAGGAAAACCUUGUGGAUCCGUAAGUAGUCUAUGUCUAGAAAAAUUUCACUCUAUUCAUAUUUAGUGCGUCAGAAAGAGUAUGUUGCAGGAC
rnacentral:lncRNA from 1 species